CUAGCAUACGAGGAGGCAAUGGUGGGAUACUACCCUGGCUGUAUGACCAUUCUAACCCGCCACGCUUAGCGCGUGGGGAGACAGUGUCAGGUGGGCAGUUUGACUGGGGCGGUCGCCUCCUAAAGAGGAACGGAGGCGCCCAAAGGUUCCCUCAGAAUGGAUGGAAAUCAUUCGCAGAGUGUAAAGGCACAAGGGAGCUUGACUGCGAGACUGACAAGUCGAGCAGGGACGAAAG
rnacentral:rRNA from 1 species